UAAGGAAGGGGCAUAAGCUAUGAGCUGGA
rnacentral:piRNA from 1 species